rnacentral:rRNA from 1 species
AUGCAGUCGACGAAGCGCUUUGAUGGAUUUCUUUCGGGAAUGAAGGAGAAGUGACUUAGUGGCGGACGGGUGAGUAACGCGUGGGUAACCUGCCUUAUACUGGGGGAUAACAGUUGGAAACGACUGCUAACACCGCAUAAGCGCACAGCAUCGCAUGAUGCAGUGUGAAAAUAUUUAUAGGUAUAAGAUGGACCCGCGUCUGAUUAGCUAGUUGGUGAGGUAAUGGCUCACCAAGGCGACGAUCAGUAGCCGGCUUGAGAGAGUGAACGGCCACAUUGGGACUGAGACACGGCCCAAACUCCUACGGGAGGCAGCAGUGGGGAAUAUUGCACAAUGGGGGAAACCCUGAUGCAGCGACGCCGCGUGAGUGAAGAAGUAUUUCGGUAUGUAAAGCUCUAUCAGCAGGGACGAACGAAGUCGCAAGACUUCUUGACGGUACCUGACUAAAAAGCCCCGGCUAACUACGUGCCAGCAGCCGCGGUAAUACUUAGGGGGCAAGCGUUAUCCGGAUUUACUGGGUGUAAAGGGAGCGUAAGGUGGUAUGGUAAGUCAGGUGUGAAAAGCCCGGGGCUCAACUCCGGGAUUGCAUUUGAAACUGCCAAACUAAAGUGCAGGANAGGUAAGUGGAAAUUCCUA